rnacentral:rRNA from 1 species
UACGUAGGGCGCAAGCGUUGUCCGGAAUUAUUGGGCGUAAAGAGCUCGUAGGCGGUUUGUCGCGUCUGUCGUGAAAGCUUGGGGCUUAACCCCAAGUCUGCGGUGGAUACGGGCAGACUAGAGGCAGGUAGGGGAGAACGGAAUUCCCGGUGUAGCGGUGAAAUGCGCAGAUAUCGGGAGGAACACCGGUGGCGAAAGCGGCUCUCUGGAACGGUACUGACGCUGAGACGCGAAAGCGUGGGGAGCGAACAGG